GGCCGCCUGGCGAAAUGGCAUCGCGUCUGACUACGAUGAGAUUAUUGAAUGCUCCUACGUAAUCAGGAGAUUGCAGGUUCGACCCCUGCGGUGGUCA